UACGUAGGGUGCGAGCGUUAAUCGGAAUUACUGGGCGUAAAGCGUGCGCAGGCGGUAAGUUAAGUCUGAUGUGAAAGCCCCGGGCUCAACCUGGGAAUGGCAUUGGAAACUGGCUUGCUAGAGUGUGGCAGAGGGGGGUGGAAUUCCGCGUGUAGCAGUGAAAUGCGUAGAGAUGCGGAGGAACACCGAUGGCGAAGGCAGCCCCCUGGGUCAAGAUUGACGCUCAUGCACGAAAGCGUUGGGGAGCAAACAGG
rnacentral:rRNA from 1 species